CCCCUAGAUGUUCUGGGCCGCACGCGCGCUACACUGAACAGUUCAACAAGUCUUAACCUUGGCCGAUAGGUCUGGGUAAUCUUUGAACGCUGUUCGUGAUUGGGAUAGACCUUUGCAAUUAUGGGUCUUCAACGAGGAAUUCCUAGUAAACGCAAGUCAUCAGCUUGCACUGAUUACGUCCCUGCCCUUUGUACACACCGCCCGUCGCACCUACCGAUUGAAUGGUCCGGUGAAAUCUCGGGACGGCGGCUUGGUCGCUUGCGUCCGACUGCUGAAACUUGAUUAAACCAUAUCAUUUAGAGGAAGGUGAAGUCGUAACA
rnacentral:rRNA from 1 species